rnacentral:hammerhead_ribozyme from 1 species
GCACUGUUGAGGAGUCCCACAAUAGGACGAAACGACCGUACAGUGC